rnacentral:misc_RNA from 1 species
GAUGAAGAACGUAGCGAAAUGCGAUAAGUAAUGUGAAUUGCAGAAUUCAGUGAAUCAUCGAAUCUUUGAACGCACAUUGCGCCCCUUGGUAUUCCGGGGGGCAUGCCUGUUCGAGCGUCAUUAUCACCCCUCAAGCUCAGCUUGGUGUUGGGGCCUGCCGUCAAGGCAGCCCUUAAAAUCAGUGGCGGCGCCAUCUGGCUCUAAGCGUAGUAAUACUUCUCGCUAUGGAGUCCUGGUGGAUGCUUGCCAUCAACCCCCAAUUUUUCUAUGGUUGACCUCGGAUCAGGUAGGGAUACCCGCUGAACUUAAGCAUAUCAAUAAGCGGAGGA